UACGUAGGGUGCGAGCGUUAAUCGGAAUUACUGGGCGUAAAGCGCGUGCAGGCGGUCUCGUAAGUCCGAUGUGAAAUCCCCGGGCUCAACCUGGGAACUGCGUUGGAAACUACGAGGCUGGAGUACGGCAGAGGGGGGUGGAAUUCCACGUGUAGCAGUGAAAUGCGUAGAUAUGUGGAGGAACACCGGUGGCGAAGGCAGCCCCCUGGGCUAGUACUGACGCUCAUGCACGAAAGCCAGGGGAGCAAACGGG
rnacentral:rRNA from 1 species